rnacentral:lncRNA from 1 species
GUGAGUACUAGGGAUCAUGUUUCCACAGAGCAACAGUGAGAGCAGGAGAUAACCAAGUCAACACCAUUGCCCAGAAGAGAGAUGGGCUCGGGAGUGGCCACCCACCUUUCUAACCAGAAGAUGAUCUCUCGGCUGUUUCUUUAAAAUGAGAAUAACCUGGAAGGUUCUGGCUCUUCCAUCAGGCUGUAUUGGACCACAUUCACCGAGAUUCAUCUCCACAGGAGCCCUCAUCCAGUGGCUGAUGGAAGCAGAGACAGACAUCCACAGAUAUACACUGAGCUGAAAUCUGGAAUUUACUUGAAGAGAGGGAGGAAUGAAGAGCGAAGGGGUUUGUACCAGUUUGGAGAAACCCACAGGAACAGUUGGCCUGAACAAGGGAGAGCACAUCGACUCCAGAUGCUGUCUGGGAGUCCAGUACAAGACUGAUCCAGACCCCUGAACAUGGAUGUCAAUAAUGAGGACUCUGGUCUCCCGGGAGCCUCUGGUGGUGGAUUAGUGUUUUUCCGUGGUGCAAGAAGGGACUUUGAGA